UCGAUGGCAAUGAGGGAGAAGAGUAGUCAUUUUUCGAGACGGCAGAGAGCUGAUGGUUGGUGCGAAUCAGUGUCAAGGAAAUGGUGAAUGGGCUCCCGAGCUCCAAACCGAACCCGUUUUUCAAAAGCGGCAGUAGGCUUUGGCGUGACGUCCGUACGUUACAAAGGACACCGUAUCAAAACGGUACGGAACAAAGCGAUUUUGCGCAUGGCUUUUCCCGUGUGCAAAAUAACAAGGGUGGCACCACGGUUCAUUCGUCCCUGUC
rnacentral:ncRNA from 1 species